UUUGGGAUGAGCACUGGGUGUUGUAUGGAAACCAAUUUGACAAUAAAUUUCAUAUUUAAAAUAAAAUAAAAUAAAAUAAAAUAUUGAUUAAGUCCUUCCAAUUUGCCAUCCAAAACAGCUGUAUGCUUCUACCAACAGUGUGUGGGCAUAUACUAACAUGGGAUGCUAUCACUCUUAUACAUUUUUGCUGUUCUGAUACGGGCCUGCUGACACACAGGCAGUGUGAGUGGCCUGUCUCCAUAGGGAAGAAUAUUUUGCCAAUGACAUAUUUUAGAAUUAGCAUGAUGAUAUGUUUCAUAAAUAUUUUGAACCCUCCUUUCUGCUGACUGCUCACACCACCUAUCCAUCCCUCCAUAUGCUGCUGCUGCUAGGUAAAAAAACCAUCUUGCUUUAUUUGCAUUUCUCUAAUUAGCAGUGAGGUUGAACGCAUGCUUAUUUGUUUAUUGACAGCUUGUAUUCCUUUCUCACUGAAUUGCCUAUUCACUUUCUUGGUCAGUUUUAUUUUUUAUUUUCUUUUUCUUAUUUUAAAAGAACACUUGAUAUUUGAUGAAUAAUAACCCCUUGUUGCCCAGGUUGUGAAUGUUUUCUGUGUGUCACUCAUAACUUUAUAGUCUCUUUUGCUAUUUUGCUAUUUGAAAGUUAUGUUGGUGUUUGGCAGAAGAUACAAGAGAGUUUUCAUUUCAUUUAAAUCCAUUUCAAAUUAGAAAUACUGUGCUUAUCUGAGUAGGGAGCAAUGCUCAGGAUCAAAGCAAAGCAUAGUAAAAGACUCCUGAGUGGCCUUCCUGUACUCCCUCCACUUGCCUCCCAACUCCCAUCUCUCACCCCAUGCUAUUGCUCCCCUGGGGAUUCCAAGGAGAGAAGGAUGACCAUAAGGAAAGGCAUCACUCUUUACAAGUGUUUAAUCAUCAUACAAUCUCAUCAAUCCAUCAUGGCUUCCAGGUUUUUGUGUCAGACUAAGGAAGUUCUUUCCUACCCAAAGUUUGUAAAGACAUUUUUCUAUAUAUAUUUUUUACAAAUAGUUUUAUUGUUUUGUUUUUUUACAUUUAGAUUUUUAAAUCACCCAUGGUUUAUGGGUAAUUAAGCCAAUUAUCCUUCUGCUGUUUAUGUUGAAUUAUCUAGUCUUCCCCCACUGAUUUGAAAUGCCACCCUGAGGAAUACCUGGCUGGCUCAGGCAGUUGAGCAUGCAACUCUUGAUCUUGGGGGUUGUGAGUUCAAACCCCAUGUUGCAUGUAGAGAUUACUUAACAAUAAGAUAUCAAAAAGAAAGAAAGAAAGAGAAAGAAAGAAAGAAAGAAAGAAAGAAAGAAAGAAAGAAAGAAAGAAAGAAAGAAAGAAAAAGGAAAGAGAAGUAAAGAAAUGCCACCUUGAGCACAUGUGAAAUCCUGUAAGUAUGAACCUGGAUUACUUUCUGGACUCUGUUCCAUUCCAUUGAUCUAGUUGUCUUUUUUCUGAUCAGUACCAUACUACCCUAUUUACUAUAUAGUUUUAUAGUUCUUUUAGUGUCUUAUAAGCCAAUUUUUAUUUUGCUACAGUUGUUUUUCAAAACCUUCUUAGCUAUUUUCAAACAUUUACUCUUCCAGAGAAACUAGAGAAUCAAUUUUUAAAUUAAAAAGACUCCAUUGGGAUUUUGAUAAAAAUUACAUUUAAUUUAUAGAUCAAUAUGGAGAGAAUUGACUCUUAAGAAAUACUGAGGUUUCUUAUCCAUAUAUGACUCUCCAUUUGCAAAAAACGAUAUGUCCUUCAGUAAAACAUAAUUUUAAUGGGUUUUGAAUAUUUUUUAUUAAUUUUAUUUCUAGGUAUUUUUUUUCAAUGUUAUUCAUUUUUGAGAGAGAGAAUGAGAGAAAGACAGAGCAUGAGUGGGGAAGGGGUAGAGAUCUUGAGAGGGAGACACAGAAUCCAAAGCAGGCUCCAGGCUCUGAGCUGUCAGCAUAGAGCCCGACACGGGACUGGAGCUCACGAACUGUGAGAUCAUGACCUGAGUUGAAGUCGGACGCUUAACUGACUGAACCACCCAGGCGCCCCAAUUUGUAGGUAUUUUAGAGUUGUGAUUAUUAUGUGUCAUUUUUCCAUUAUAUUUUUGAAAUGGUUCUUAAUACAUAGUAAAAUUAUGAUUUUUGUAUAUCCCUUUUGUACUUAGUAUCUUGUAUUAUUGUACUUUGUUUACUUAACUCUUCCCCAUUUCUGGGCAUUAGGUUGUUCCCAAGCUUUGAGGAUCAUAAUUAGCCUUGCUAUAAACAUCUCUAAACAGGUAAUUUUUUCUCUUUAAAUUUCUUCCCACAAAUGGAAAAACAGAUUUAAAGAGUAUAUGGAACUUUAUGGCUCUUAUUACACAUUGCUCUGAGUAAUCUCCUGAAGGGCUAGACUCCUUUCCAAUUCUGCCUAUAAUAAUAUCAGCAAAUGAAGUAAUAAUGAUGAAGAUAAUGAUGACAAGGAUGAUGAGACUGUUGGUAAGAGCCAUAUUAUGCUCUGGGCUUCCCAUGUCUUUUCAUCUAAUACUCACAAUGAAUCUAUAAUAUGCUAUUGCUGUCUCAUAUGGACAGAUAAAGGAAACUGAGGUACAGAGAGAUUAACAUCUGCACUCACACCUGGUAGGAGGCGAAGUCAGAUGUGUUGUGUUCCAUGGUCAAUGCCUUCUCAAAUACCCAUACUUUUUUUAAAAGCAUUUUUUAAGUUUAUUUAUUUAUUUUGAGAGAGAGAGAGAGAGGGAGAGCAGGGGAGGGGCAGAGAGAAUCCCAAACUGGUUCCACACCAGUAGCUCUGAGCCCGACUCAAGGCUCAAACUCACAAACCAUGAGAUCAUGACGUGAGCCAAAACCAAGAGUCAGAUGCUUACCAACUGAGCCACCCAGGCGCCCCAUCUAAUACCCAUACUUUUUAUAUUUCAUUUAUAUUUGAGACUUUAAAAGGUAUAUAAGAGCUGAAGUUGUUUUACUUUGCAUUUCUUAACCAAGAAGUAGGUUGUUAGAUAACAUACUUGUUAAACCUCUUUUUCAUCUCCUUUGACCACUUAUCCAAUAGACUGGUGAUGUUAAUUAGAUAUUUGUAACAAUGCCCUCUAAAUUGGAUAGAAAUUGGAUAGAGAUUAUAAAAAAAGAUUGUAUUUUUUUUCCCAUAUGUUUACAUAUAUUCUUAGGUUUUAGUGCCCAUUGAUUCUUCCUUUCCUCUAUUCUAAUUUAUGUCUUCUGUAAAUUCCUUUUUUUUAAUAAAUUUUUUAAAAAUUUAUUUACUUAUUUUGAGAGUGAGCAUGAGCAUGGGGAGCAGCAGAGAGGGAGAGCGAGAAUCCCAAGCAGGCUCUGUGCUGUGCUGUCAGUACAGAGCCCAAUGCAGGGUCCACCCAGGCACCCCUUCUGUAAAUUCUCCUUAUCUGAAAAUUCCAUUACCAGCAUGGGGAAUAGUAUAUUAAGUAGUACUUAACACUCUUAUCUUAUUCAUACAAUGGUAGUCUUAGUAGAAGUAGUAGUAGUAAUGGUAGUGAUAGCAGCUUUCAAAAACUAAGUGCUUACCAAGUGCUAAGGAUAUUACACACAUGAACUCAUUUAAUUAUCACUAUAAUCCAAUGAGAUAUUAUCUUUGUUUUACAGAUGAAGAAAUAGGCCCAGGAGAUCCUGGGUGGCUCAGUGGGUUAAGUGAGUAAGCUUCCAACUCUUGAUCUCAGCUCAGGUCAUGAUCUCGACGUUCGUGGGUUAGAAUCCUGUAUCAGGCUCUGUGUUGACAGCAUGAAGCCUGCUUGGGAUUAUGUCUCUCUCUUUCUCUGCCCCUCCCCACUCUCUCUCUCUCAAAAUAAAUAAAUAAACUUAAAAAAGAAAAAAGAAAUAGGCUCAGAUUUAUCAGCUUGGUCAAGGACACACAAUUAACAAAAGGAAGUCCUGUCUAUGCCGAAGUCCAUGUUCUUAAUAACAGUACUGCUGGCCCCCCAUUAUGUAGAGUAUAAAGUUAACUCUCUUUGAAAACAAAAUCUCUUUAUAAACGUAAAGAAAUCUUCCAUACCAAUUUAUUUCUUCUUAAAAUUUUGAAUGAAUGGGUUUUUAUAACAUUAUAUUAGUUUCACGUUUACAACAUAAUGAUUCAAUAUUUGUAUGUACUGUGAAAUCACCACGCUAAUCUAGUUAACAUCCAUCACCACAUCUAGUUAUAAAUGUUUCAUACUAACUUCUUACAAGCUUUGAAUCAAAGAGAUUUUUAAUUUAAUCAAAUAUUUUCUUAACAUUUAUAAAGAACUUUGUCAUUACCCUUGCCUAUCCUAGCUUCUACCUCUGGUGGUCUCUGGGCAUUGCCACUCUGGCCUCCAGGGGGCACUGUUACCCCUUUAAUACUGUGGCUCAAGCCUUUGCUAAUUCCCUUAAGCACAGAUAAGACCAGGAAAAUAUUUAAACAAAGUUUACAAGGGGCUCAGAUGAACAGAAGGCAAAUGAGUACAGAGAGUAAUAUACAACUAGAUAAUUUGGUUCACUGAAUGCAGAGUAGGCAUUUCAGUAUUUGACACUGAAUACCUUGCUUCCCACUGCAUGCACAAAGCAGAAAACUUUUUUUCUAUCCUGCACUAUGUCCUCAAGCAAGCAAAAUUCUUCAAAAACUGGCUCUGAGAUUGGUAAGGCUAGUUCCAGCUAAGGGCUUCCUUCCAAAUUCUACUUUCCAGUUUCAGUGUCUGCCUCUCCCUACACACUGGACACUUAACAUGUCAGCCCUCUUCUAGAAAGAUGGCAUUGUCUGCUUCUGGUUCGUAGCUUUACCCUGUUGUUUGGGAAUGGUUAUCUGUGGGUGUCUCAUACUCCUUCAUGUCUUAGACAGUAUGCCAAGAAUGUAAGGCCCUAACAGCUUAUACAGCUUAUAUUACAUAUCUAUUACUACAUAACCGAUUACUCCAAAAUGUAGAGGCUUAAAAAACAAACUUUUUUUUUUUGACAGUUUCUUUUGAUUAGGAAUCUGGGCAUAGCUUAGCUAGGUGCCCCUGGUUCCAGAUCAAGGUGUUGGCCAGGGUGCAGUCAUCCCCAGUCUUGAAUAAGGGAGAUUCUUCUUCCAAGCUCAUUCAACAGAGUUGUUGGUAGGCCUCAGGUUCUUACUGUGGCCAAAGACAUCCUUUCCUUGCCAUGUAGGUCUCUCCAUAAGGCAGCUCACAACAUGCUGUCUACCCUCGCAGUGAGUGAGAGAGAACAUGAGAGGGUGCCCAAGACAGAAGCUACAGUCUUUUUAUAACCUCAUGUCAGAAGCAAUAUCCUGUCAUUUGUGCUGUAUUAAAUUAGUUAGAAGUGAGUCAGUAACUCUAGCCCACAGUCAACUGGAGGUGAUUACACCAAGGAGUGAAUACCAGAAGUUUUAGUACACGUGCUACCGAAGUGAGCACAGGAGUCACAGAAUCCGAAGCAGUCUCCAGGCUCCGAGCUGUCAGCAUAGAGCCUAACUUCGAGCUAGAACCCAUGGACCACGAGAUCAUGACCUGAGCUGAAGUUGGAUGCUUAACUGACUGAGUCAUCCAGUCACCUCAAAUGUAAACUAUUAUUAAUAGUGUAAACGUGUAGUAAGUUUUUGUUAACCUCACUCUAUACCUGUUCAAGUCCCCCUUGCUCUUGGUCUCAUCCUUCUGUCUGUUGCCUCCUCCUUUCCUUAAUAAGUGUAAAUGGCUUGGCCCCCACUUGGGCUCUCUUCCCCUCCUCCAUUGUCCUUCUCUUCAACCUUCCUAACCCAGGUUUAAUGCGGCUGUCUCCUCCAUACCUAUACCAUGGCUGCAGAGCUCUGCGAAGAUGAUAUCUAUUGUACAACUUGCAUUUCUCCUACAUCAGUUCAUCCCUCAGUGUGUCCUGCAACUAUUUCUGUGUGUCUCAAACCAGAGCUUUCUGCUUAAUAUAUGUAUCAGCAAAUUUUAAGUGUAGUUUUUAUUUUUGAUAUUGUACUAUUUUGAAUAAAUAUUUUCAAAGUCA